rnacentral:rRNA from 1 species
AUACGUAGGGUGCAAGCGUUAAUCGGAAUUACUGGGCGUAAAGCGUGCGCAGGCGGUUUUGUAAGACAGUGGUGAAAUCCCCGGGCUCAACCUGGGAACUGCCAUUGUGACUGCAAGGCUGGAGUGCGGCAGAGGGGGAUGGAAUUCCGCGUGUAGCAGUGAAAAGCGUAGAUAUGCGGAGGAACACCGAUGGCGAAGGCAAUCCCCUGGGCCUGCACUGACGCUCAUGCACGAAAGCGUGGGGAGCAAACAGGAUUAGAUACCCUGGUAGUCCACGCCCUAAACGAUGUCAACUGGUUGUUGGGGAUUUAUUUUCUCAGUAACGAAGCUAACGCGUGAAGUUGACCGCCUGGGGAGCACGGCCACAAGGUUAAAACUCAAAUGAAUUGGCGGGG